rnacentral:rRNA from 1 species
GAUGAACGCUGGCUACAGGCUUAACACAUGCAAGUCGAGGGGAAACGACGGGGAAGCUUGCUUCCCCGGGCGUCGACCGGCGCACGGGUGAGUAACGCGUAUCCAACCUGCCUCUGACUGAGGGAUAACCCGUCGAAAGUCGGCCUAAUACCUCAUGGCAUCGUCUGCGGGCAUCCAACGACGAUUAAAGAUUUCAUCGUUCAGAGAUGGGGAUGCGUCUGAUUAGCUUGUUGGCGGGGUAACGGCCCACCAAGGCGACGAUCAGUAGGGGUUCUGAGAGGAAGGUCCCCCACAUUGGAACUGCGACACGGUCCAAACUCCUACGGGAGGCAGCAGUGAGGAAUAUUGGUCAAUGGGCGAGAGCCUGAACCAGCCAAGUAGCGUGCAGGAUGACGGCCGUAUGGGUUGUAAACUGCUUUUAUGCGGGGAUAAAGUGAGGGACGUGUCCUUCAUUGCAGGUACCGAAUGAAUAAGGACCGGCUAAUUCCGUG